GGUUCGCCCACCUCGGCUCGGGGCGAUCUCGAGGGGCCGGUUUGACCAUCUGCCUGCCUCGGUACCGAAAGGUCCCUGGAAAAGGCGGAGGGGCUGGUGAGGGGCAGGGCUCUCCUUGCCUCGCCUUGUGAGCUGUAGCUGCUGUGGAAAGAAUCGACUUGAAGAAGACUAGCAGAGAAGCAUGAGACCAGUUGGGAGGCGGCUGCAGUGGUCCAGGUGAGAAGUGAUGCUGGUGGAGCCAAGAGCCACGACAGUGCACAUGAAAAGACUGCUUUGGACUCAGUAAAUAUUUUGGACGGUGUAGCAACAAGACAAACUUCUGUUUUGGGGGGUAAGGAAAAGGGAAUGAUGCUUUCCCUAGCCUGAGUUACUGUGCGAAAUGGGGAAAAGUUUACUGAGAUGGGCGAAGAUGGGGACAGAGAAGCAUUUAUUUCAUUUUGGACGCGUUAAGUUUGUACUGUUUUUGUAACAUCCAAGUGCAGAUAGUGGUUGAGCUGGAUAUGCAAGCCUGUAACUCAGAGAAGUGGUCUGAGUGGGAACAACAAAUACGUAUUGAAAAUCAUGUCAAAAGUGGAUAAUUUUUUAAAAAGACAAUUAGCUGGUGGUAGUGGAGGUAUGAAAUGUCUAUAGGGAAGAAACUGAGAAAAUGAUGUCUGGGGUAGGAACUGGAGAGGUUGUAGGGAAAAUGGAGAGAGGGAAGGAGCGGAAGAAAGGCGGGGAUGGGCUGUGAAUAUGAUUAUGGGAAGGAGGGACAGAAAGCUGGGGCAAAUGGAAUGGAUAUGUCGGUCCCAUCUAUGUGUGGGUACAAGGGCAAGGCCUGCCGGGAUAUGAGGAGUAAUUACAGGGAGAAAAGAAGAGUGGGAGAAUGGAAACACUAGGGAAAGUACAGGACACAAGGGCCAGGGGAAAAGGUGAGAACACAGAUUAACUGUAAUCACAGCUAGAGACCAGCCCAGCAGCUGGAGGUGGCCACAGGGUCAGGGCAGUUCAGAGGUCACAGGGUGAUCCUAGUAUGAGAAAAGAAGGUGGAGGAAUGAGAAGGAAGGUGAGAAUGGAAGGAGGUCCUCAGAACUUGGCCAUGAGGAAAUAGGAUUCUAUUAUUAGACAUAAACCUGAGCAUGAGCUCACAAUGGGCAAAAGUCUGCUUUAAGGCAGGAAUUUUAAACAAAGAUACACAAAAUAUCCUCUGGACAUCUAUGAAGUCCCUGCAGUUGCUCAAAUGGUUUUCUAAGUAUGGCAUUCUUCUGUGGAAAUAGAUAUGGAUGGCUUCUAUCACAUUCUCUAAUCCUGACAUUUAAAAAGAGAGAGAGAAAGAAUAGAAUCUGGUGCAUAGAGCAAGACAGAAGGUAACAUUAUAUAUUAAAAAAAAAAAAAAGGAAUAUGUCAAUCAGAAGGAGGAGGUGAAAAAGAAAGCAUGCAAAGGAGACCAAAAAAGGAGGAGGAGGUGAAGGAGGAGGAGAAGGCAGAGCCUGUCUAAGGGAGAAGGUAUCCACUCUGAUCUAAUCAAGAAGUUGCCCUCUCCACUAAGUGGAAAUGAUGAGAAAAGAACCUGAUGCUAUUAGUCAUUUAAAUCCUGUAACUGCUCCUCAUUCUGACUCACCCACGAAGCAUCCUUCUGAUAAGGAGAUGAAAGAGAGAAGCCGUGGCUGGACCUAUGGGAGGCAGCCGUCCACCUGACAGCUGCUGGUUUUGCGACUGGAACAUCGUGAUGUUUCUGAGCCUGUCAUGAAGCUGAGUGAGGGCUUGAUGCAGGACCAUGGGGAAUUUCAUCCCAACAUCUUCUUGGGAAACUCUCUUCAAAAGUCAGCCAGUUGUCUUCUCCUGGCAGCCCCUCCAAUGCCACGUGUUUGAGAAAUGUCCUGCCUUUCCUACUGGAAGCGUCUCCAGAAGGAACUUUUUCAGUGCUCACAAAUGUGAGCUGUCUCCUUUAUGGGCAGUACGGAGAAGGAUGAAUGAACAAGUGAAACUAAACCGCUCUCACCCUCCACCUGAUGCUCUGUUCCCUGAAACUGCAGAAGCAUUUGGGUUUGCCCCAGGACCACGUCUGCUGGGAAGAAUAAAGAAUCUCCUUUCCCGAGAAGUCAAUGGGAAGAGUUGGGGACUAACAGUACUAAUGGCUAACACUUAAUGAGCCCUUAACUCCCAGCACUACGCACAGUACUUUAUUCUAACUUCCACCAACCACAGUCACACAGCAGCAGAGACAAAAUUUUAACCCAGGAAAUCUGACUUAGGAGCCCUUGGAUUAACCAAUUCACUGUCCUGCUGCUAGAGGCAGAUCUAGAGAUCUAGGGAGCAGUUUUAUACAGGACCUGUCUGCACAGUGGCUUAGGGUUCCAAGAGGAUAAAGGCUAGACCUGCCAGGUGCCUGAGGGCUAAGCCCAGACCUAGGCAUCACUUGUGCUGCAUUCUGUUGGUCAGAAGAAGUUACCAGGCCAGCCCAGGUUCAAGGGAAACACCAAUAGAUUCCACGUCUAGGUGAGAGAAAAGGCAGGAGAUUGAGAACAUGAUUAACCUGCCACAUCCAUUAUAUCAUAUUCCAUUUUACAGCCAAUUUAUGACUUAGAAGGUAUCUAACUGGUGAGAUUCCGUGGCUACUUCAGCUAUGGGUGGUGUGAAAUGCACCAUGGUAAAACACAGGGUUCAAAUCCUCAUUUCAGUGCUGACUUGCUAGACGACCCUCGGGCAAGUUAUUAAACCUUUCUUCCCUUCCUUUCUUCAUCUCUAAAAUGAGGGGCAGUAACGUCUAACUUGCCAGGGUAAUUCAGAGAAUCAGAGAGAAUGCAAGGAAAAUGCUAGUGCCUGGGAGAUGAGAUGGCUAAGCGGUCCUGUAACACUGUUGUUACUAGAUUUCUUGUCUUUCUUCUUAAGUAAGGUAACAGGACUGGUAAUAGAGUGAUUUAUUCUCCCUGUCAUGGGAACACCCAGCAGACCUCUAGAAUUGCCUGCCCCCCCCCUGGAAACCUCAGCAAUUAUGCAGUAGAGUUGGGGCAUGGCCUUGUGAAUUUGUUCAACCUUUUGGAAAGCACUUUAGUAAUCAUUAGCAAGAGUCAUAAAAAGCGUUCAUAUCCUUUGACCCAAUUACUAGAUUUCAAGAAAAUUAUCCUCAGGGAACUGAUUCAAAAGAAAAGCAAAAUCCAUAUACAUCGAGUUCUUCGUUGCCUUUUCUCUAGAGCAACUAAAAAUAAACAGUUUAAAUGUCCAACAGUAAGUGAAUGGUUAGCUAAAUUACGAUCAAAUGAAUAUUUGUCAGAAUAUUAUAUGACUCCUAAAAUGACAAUUAUUAUCACUACAUGACAGUAUGGGAAAAAAAUUUAAUGAAUUGCUAAGUGACAAAUUCAGAAUUCAAAAAUUUCUCUACAAUAAACAGCUAGAGCAAGACAAUGAAAAAUUUUGUUAGUGUUUGGAAAGUGGUCUUGAAAUUGAUUUAUCUUCUUUAAAAAUAUUCUUUAUUAUUUUACAUCCAAAUCAGAAGAAAAAUUUGGGCAAGGCCAUAUGGGAAAGUGAUUUAUUUAAAAAAAGAAGGGCAUAUAAUAAGUGCCAGAGAAUACACUGCAGAGCUUUUAAACAUACAAGUGCUUAAGCUGCUCCCUGGAGAUUCUAAUUCAGGAGGUCCCAGAUAGGGCCCAGCCACUGGUAUUUUUUCAGAGCUCCACAAAUGAUUUUGACACGAGACUGAGACUCACUGAGCUGAGCACUCACCAUUAUCCUUUCAAAUGAUCUAAUAUAAACACUCUGUCUGAUCAGAAAUAGCAAUACAAAAGAAACUUACAUAGUUAGAACUCUUUUUCCCUAAUACAGUUUGUUCCUACGUGUGGGCCUUUUCCAUUUCCAAGUAUUUAGUUGUGCUGUGAUAAAUCUGUAGCCUCUGUAUAUAAUCCAGAACACAGAAAGAACAGCUUUUGAUAAACAUGUGUGGUUCUGUACAAUGUAAGGAAAAAACAUGACAUAAGAGCUGAUGGCCUGGGUUUAGCAGAAAGAGUAAUAGCAGGAAAAAAAAAAUCUCAUCUCCAUAUCAGUCAGAAGAUAUUGACAGGAUUUCAAGGACGGCCUCCCACUGUGACCAGCUGUGGCCCUUUCCUGAGGAAUAGAAGUAGUGGAUAGUCUCAUGAAAUUGAAUAUGCAUAUUUUUCUUUCUUCUUAUAAUGGUAGCAUUAACCCAUAGGGAGUUAUUGUUAAAGACUGAAGAGCAGGAACAGAAAAAACCAGAGUCUUGUUCUACCCAGCUUAGCAUCCACAGAAUCUAGUGAGAGACAGUAGAUUCUCUGAGAAAAUCCUGGAACUGACCGAUUUUCACGAUAGUUUCCUGAGACCAUCAUUGCCCAAAGUGAGCUCUCUGUAAAAAGCAGUUAGUUCCUCAGAAGGCUGAAAGGUAUUGCUUGAAAAGGGAUUCCAUGAUGAAAUAAUUUUGGAAUGCAGGAUUUAACCAAGCUAGAGAGGUUUCUUUGUAGGGCCUCUUGGGGGCUUUUUGAAUCUCUGAGAAAGAAUUAUAGUAUGAAAUAUGAAAUUUCCUUGAUGAAACACACCUUGCAAAACACUUCUAUAGACAUGUGAUUUCCAGUUAAAGCAAAAUAAAUGUUGAUUCUUAAAUCAAGGAAAAUUAAUACAGGAUAUUUUGACCCUAGAUUUACAUUACUAAAUGUGCAUAUUCCACCUAAGGAAAACUAACUUUUACUUGAAAAUUAAGAUACAGAAUAUCUAAAAAAAUUCAAGAGCCUCUCCAGACAAAUCCUUAGAACUAAUGAAAGGGUUGACUAAAGUUCCCAGACAUAAGAAACUUGCGGGGGGAAAAAAAAAGCAAACAAUUAGAAAAUUUAAUUUUAAAAAUACCGUCCAUAAUAAGGGCCAAAAUCUGUAAGCUGUAUAGAAAUAAGUCUAAUAAAACAGGGUCAAACUUGCCUGGAGGAAAAUUAAAACCUUUAUUGAAAGACAUAAAAGGAUUUCUAAACAAAUGGAGUAAUGAUACCAUGUUUGUGGUUGGGGAGACUCAAUGUGAUAAAGAUGUAAUAGUUCUCCAUCUUUCACUUCCCUUGCUUCCUAAUUAAGACAUACUUCUCAUCCUUUCAUUCUCUUGUUUCUUGCAACGUCCAAAAGCAAAGAUGGUAGCAGCUCUUUCGUUAUCAGAAUGUCUUCUGCCUGUCUCAGCAAACUUCUAGUGAGGCACGUUUUAGGCCUCUAUCUACAGAUGCCCAGUGAUAUCCUGGUGGUUGUUCUUAAGGUUUCCAGUAUAAUACACAAGGUCUUAAAGCAUAUUCAGGUAAUAUGAAAUUCUAUGAAGGGCCUAUGCAAUUUGUUUGUGAUUUCUGAUCGCUAGAUAUAUCUCUCUCUUGUUGGUUUUUGGAGUUUUUUGGUUUUUCUUUUUGUUUUUUAAUGGAAGUACUGGGGAUUGAACCCAAGACCUUGGGCAUGCUAAGUGUGUGCUCUACCACAGAGCUAUUACCCUCCCCCUAGAUAGAUAUCUCCUUGGAUACCUGAGCUAGAAAGGGCUUUUCUUGUAUUCAAAACUGCCCAAUUUAAUUUACUAAAUGGGGUGCAGUAGAGGUAAACAAAGGUAGCUUCCUGGCUCACAACAAUACUCCUAGUGGCCACAUUUGUGCUACAUUUCCCCUGAUAACAGACUCAACCCCAAGUCACAGAAAUGGGCAAGCAAUCCCACCUGGGGCAAUUAUAACACCUCAUUCCUCUGGCCUACAGUUGGACCAGUGGUAGACACAUGACCCAAGCUGGACCAGGAGGGAGGGAUAAAGCUAACAGGAAAAGAGCAGAAGAGAUAAGAGACUGAUAAUUUUUGAACCCCUGGUUCUAGUCAUCCCUGCUUUUUCAUGGGUUGAGGAUAUAAGCCAAUAAAAGUCCCCCCUUUUGCUUAAAUUAGCUCAAUAUGGCUUUCUGUCUCUUGUAACCAAAGAAUCUCCACAACAUGUAAGCAGGUGGAUGCUUCUAUGCAUAAAUUUCCCAGGCUGCUACUAAUGCAGUCAGAGAUGAUUCAGGGAAGCAGAAACACUACAAGUUCUGGA